AAUCUGUAAAUUACUUUGGGAGUAUGGCCAUUUUCACGGUAUUGAUUCUUCCUAACCAUGAGCAUAGAAUGUUUCUGCAUCCGUUUGUGUCCUCUCUUAUUUCAUUGAGCAGUGUGGUUACUUUGGGGUUUUUAAAGCUUCUCCAGUAAAUCUUGAAAUAAGCAAUUCUGGUGUCCAAAUAUGACUGAAUUUCAUUUUUCUCUUUGUACCUCCAUGUUAGAGAUGUUAAAGUUGACACGACUUUCUUGGGAGGGAGGGAAUUCAUUCUAGAUGAGGAAAUAAAUUGGGUAAAAGUAUGGCAGUGGUAAUGCCUAAGCCAUGUUCAGGAAAUCAUGAAUAAUUAUUUGGCUGAAAAUAGGGUAGGUUUAAGGUGAAAAAUGAAAUAUUAGAAUUAAGUUUGUACCAUGAGAGAUACUUUAAAAAUGAUAUUCUGUCUUUGUAUUACAAAAUAUCAUGCUGUUGGCUAGAGAAGGAUGUGUGGUAAAGUGCUGGUGUAUAUAAUUUGAUAAGGUUUAAAUAUCGUGUGUUCUUUGUUGUGUCCUUUUUUAAACCUUGGUCAUAUAGAUUUUUGUUAUAUUAGUUUGAAUUAUAUCAGCAUAUUAAAAGAGAUAUAUUGGUAUACUGAAUGAUGCAUAUUUUUUCUAAAGUGUGCAUGUAUGUGUGUAGGGGAGGUGCAGGGAGGGAUGUAUGCAUAUACACACACUUUGCCUCUGCUGGUUUGUUCUUCCAGUCUUAUCUUCUGUCCUGUGUUCCCAACUGCUGGUGACAAAUCCCAAGAGAAUUUGGUAAUUGACGGGAGCUUCAUGAAUUCAUGUAUAUUUCAAACAGUAAACUUAAAAAAACCUCUUACAUAUAUACAAGCAUAUUUUAAAUAUAAAUACUGUUGUGAUGAAUUAAAUCCAUUUAAACAUAAAUUCACAAUAAUAUUAUUUGUGAAUAAAAAAUAAUAAUUGUGAAAAAAGCACAAUAAUGUUAUUUUGUGCUGUUCUCAGUCAGUGGUUACCAGAAGAAGAAGGUCUAUCAUGUGGGUGUGUGUAAGCUAUUUUUCCAUUAAAAGGGAUUUGUCAUUCUUCAAAAGAUUAAACACUACCUAUGCUGGCCAUGUCUUGUCUCCUAAGAGUAAAUUUGUGAUUUAGACUCUGAAACACUUGGGGAAAUUUCUGACUGGUUUCACAUAUGUAAAUGCAUGCCUAAUUGUUGAUGCAGAUGACUGAAAAUUGACUCUUACGUUGAGUACCAUAAGUGCUGGCUAGCCAAAACUUGAAAAGGGGAGCACUGUGGUCAAACUUUUACUUGAUAAUGAAUCUUCAGUUUACUUCCUUUUAAAAUACCAUGUCUGUCUCUUGCUGUAACUUAGAGAAGCUGGCCAUGUAAAUGGGAGGAAAGGGAACAAGGUUGAGUCAUGUCUGCUCUUUAGAGAUGCAGAAAUCAUUUUAAAGAAUUGGGUCAAAUCGUUGAUAUACCUGAAUAUAUUAUCAAAGCACUGUGUAUUAGGCUAUUCUUGCUUUGCUACAAAGAAAUAACCUGAGACGGGGAAAUUUAUAAAGAAAAAAGAUUUAAUUGGCUCACGGUUCUGCAGGCUUUAUAGGAAGCGUGGUGCUGACAUCUGUUUGGCUUCUAGUGAAGCCUCAGGGAGCUUUCAAUCAUGGCAGAAGGCAAAGGGGAACAGGCACAUCCUGUGGUAAAAGCAGGAGCAAGUGAGAGAGAGAGAGAGUGGGUGGGGAAGGGAAAGUGCCACACAUUUUUUAAAUAAAUUAAGUUCUGGGAUACAUGUGCAGAAUGUGCAGGUUUGUUACGUAGGUAUACAGGUAAACAUGAUGGUUUGCCACACUGCCACACACUUUUAAACGACCAGAUGAGUGAACUCAGAACACUCACUUAUCAUCAAGGGGAUGGUCUAGGCCAUUCAUCAGGGAUCCACGCCCAUGAUCCAAACACCUCCCACCAGACUCCACCUCAGAUAUGGGGGAUUACAUCUCAACAUGAGAUCGGGUAGGGACAAAUACCCAAACUAUAUCAUACUAGUUAAAGAGAGAUGAUUUUUAAGGUUUGCAAAUUUUAGUUGAUGACUUUAUUUGGACUUGGGAGAAAACUGGAUAAAAACACCUUGAUUAACUUCCUGGAUUAUCUUUAUGAAUAUCAUCACUAUCUAUUUUAAUCCUGUGUUCAGGUACUUUUUCAUUAUCCUGGUGGAGAAAACUGAGGUUUAAAAUACAACUUGUAUCAAGACUCUGUAGUUAGGAAGAGUAAACACUGGAUUUGAAUCAGUGAUCGGAUGACCAAAGGCAGUGCUCCCCUGGUCCAAUUUUAAGAGCACAUUUGUUUGCAUGAAUUUCAGACUAGAGAGAAUUUCUAACUUCAAUGAAUUGCAUGAAAAUAUUUCUUUCUUUUGCGUUGUUUUUAUUGUGGUAAAAUAUGCCUAACGUAAAACUUUUCAUUUUAACGAUUUAGAAGUGCACAAUUUGGGUAGCAUUAAGUACAUUCACAAUGUUGUUCAGUGAUCACCAUUAUAAAUUUCCUCAACUUUUUUAUCAUCCCAAACAGAAAUUCUGUACCCCUUAAACAAUAACUUGAUAUUCCCUGCUCUCCCCAGCCUCUGAUAACCUCUGUUCUACUUUCUAUGUCUGUGAACAAAGUAUUUUUUUAAUGAGAAAGUUUUGUGAUGUCAGAUGAUAUGGCUUAACUUUUAAAUUUCUUUGUAGAGUGUUGAUUAUAAAUGAAUUUCUUUUGAACAAGAAGUACCAUGUACUUCAAUGCAAAUUAAGUUAUUUUUGCUGUCUUAAUUCUUUGUCUCUUCUAUUUUAAACAAAGUGUUAUAAUUACAUGUGCUAAAUACAGAAGGCUUCGUGUUCUCUUACUUUAUUAAAUGUAAACAAAUGGUGUUAAGAGAAAAUAGCUUUUUCUGAAUCUUACUAAACUGCUUUUUAUAUAUUGUUCUAGUUAGAGUUCCUUAAGUUGCAUUGCAGUUAGUCUUAAUUGCCUUUGCAAUUAAGUUCAUCAAAAUGGGUAGCAAAUCCAAGAGAUGACUAUCUUUUUGCCAACCUGCAUAAAUUUGUAUCAUGUUCUCCUAACUGAUGGUUAUCAAAUUGCAUAUGAUUUAACUCAAGCUAUAUAUUAUUUCUUUCUAUUUAUUUAUUUAUUUUUGACUCAAGCUGUUUUUGUAAAAUGAGUGUUGAAUGUAAUAAUUAAUACUCAUUUUACUCCAUUAGGAAGAGUUACUGGGAGGUGCUCCAUACUUUGGCCAGAUCCUGGGCUUUGUUGUUUUUUGUUCCAUUGACCCAUGAGGUUGUGAAAAUCCUAAAACUCAGGUUCACCCACUUUAAUUUGACAUUGAGGUGAAAGCCAGCUUCAGUACUUUGAUUACUUGUUGCAUUCCUGGUUUUACUGUUUUUGCCAGAUUACUUAUUUUCUUAACUGCUCAUGGAUUCAUUUCAGAUAUUUUCAAUAUUUUCCAGCAUUUUUAGUUGUUUUCGGUGGUAGAGUUGGGUCUCUAAACUAGCCCAUUGUUGGAAAUGGAAGCAUUCUUAGAGACUUUGCAAAACACAUUCAUUCACUCCACCCAGUAAAUAAUAAUAAUCAGAACACAGAUUUUGUUUUGGUUAGUGUCUUUUUAUUUUUUGUACAGUUUGGAGUGUCUCACUAUGUUGCGCAGGCUGGAGUGGAGUCACUAGUCAAAAGUGCGAUCAGACCACCGCAGCCUAAAUUUCUGGGCUCAAGUGGUCCUCCUGCCUCAGCCUCCCGAGUGGCUGGGACAAAAGGGGUGCAGGACUGUACCUGAUUCUGUCACCAUGUAUUUUUGACUGCCAAGUCAGUGUCUGUUCCGUGUCUGUUUUAGAUUUGAAUGAAAGAAUUUUUGAUGUUAGCUGCAGUAGCUUGCUUUCAUCUUCUGAAGGUACUAAAGGAGCAGGUUGUGGGAUGGAGAGGGUUUGAACCUAAUGUUCUUUUUCUAGCCUAGCACUGGAAUAAACUUUAAGUCCUAAAAGGAGAUUCUGUUUGAUGUUUGUUGAGCAAGGGCCUUCUUGUCACUUUCUUUUCAUAUUGUAUUCAAAGUGGCUUCUUUCUGUUUUUAACCUUACUGAGGUGUGAGAGGGAGAGGAAUGUUAUUGGUAUGUAUGUGUGUGAGAGAGAAUGUUAUGGAACCAAACUGGGGCCCACUCACCUGGCACAGUAAAACCAAAUACCCACAGGGAGGAACACAGCAGUAGGUGUUUACUGCAGAGUGCUAAGUAGGGAGGACCAGCAGCUAAAUGCUUAAAUCCUCGCCUCCUGGGUAGCUUGCAGGCAAGGAUUUUUAAAUGCAGGGUAAGUUUCAGGAAAGCAGAAGCUACAGGCAAAAAUCAUACAUCAGUACAGGGAGGUAACACGUUGGUUUAAGUUUAAAAGGUUGAGAUAUCUUGAAGCAGGGCCUUACAUGUUGUAGGUAGAUUCAAAUAUCUUCUGAUUUGCCAUUAGUUAAGGAAGAGAAGCUUUGUUUAAAAAUUUAAAGUCAGUAGAAAAAAUGUUAACUGGCUGGGGGUGUGACUUUCCCCAAGUGCUACAGAAAGAAACUUAGAAUAAAAAGUGAGUUAUAAAGUUUAGUUUUCACUUUCCCCUUACCUGGACUCCAGGUGUCAGUGGAUCUGUUAGGUGGAGGUCCUCAGUGGGGUCUGAGCCUCUGAGAGACAGUUCAGGGACAUAUGUUCAGAUGUUAUUUUUAGUUUCUGUAGGGAAAGCAAACAUCUCUGGAGCUUUAACUUCCUUGGCUAUUGUUUUAAACUACUAUUACCUUCUUGUUUAACAAGUAAAGUAGUUAACCUCUGGGGCCAGAUAGAUGCCUGGAGUUUCCCUUGAAGGAACUUAAGGAUUUUCCUUUGCAAGUCCCUAAAAAAGGGAGUCUAAGGACUCACUGUUCUGUUUGAAAACAUAGCUGUCUUCAGGAGGCUGCUCUUUAGUUUGAUUAGUUACAUUUGUAAGUUUUUAGCCUUUGGCGCUCCCAGUCCUUUUCUGUCUGUGAGGUUUUGGUUUUAGCCAUUUUCUCUCCUCUUCUUGGGUAAUCCUACUUACCAGUCUUGAUUGGUAGAGGAUUACUCCAAGUCCCUCUCUCCAGCCCAGCUCUCUUUCCAAGCCUUGAGACCCAUGCUCAGCCACGAGCGAACAUUUCCACUUAGUUGUCCUUCAUGUCCAGGCACUUAACCUCUCCUGAAACCUUAAAGCCAAUCAACCUCUUAAAUCUUAAUCACAUUUCUCUAUUCUCCUGUCAACUACCCUGGUCUAGACCAUCUUCUUUUCUGGAUUAAGGCAGUAACUUUCUUACAGAUCUCCCUAAAGACUGAAGUCUUCCACUGUGUUAAUCCGUUCCACUCUGGGACCAAGAGUAUUUGUUCUAAAAUGCAAUUUGUGUAUUAAUCUCCUCGAUGAAACCUCUUGGUGACUUUCCUUUGUCUUUGCAUGCAAUUCAGACUCCAUGUUACGGUUGACAGUUUUGAUUACUUCUCUGGUCUCAACUCUCUCGUCCCUCCCAAUUUAACUGUGAAUUCUAUUAAUAAUUAUGUUAAAUUUCCUGUGGGAAUGGAGGGUGGGAUGGAUUUUGCUUCUUUUUAUGAAAUUCAAUUUUUUGAGGGAUAAUAUACAUACAGUUUGAUUAACAAGCAGGUACACUCAUGCAACUAGUACUACAAUCAAGAUAUUGUACUCUUUAGUCACUCCAAAAAGUUAUUUUGGGGCCCUUUGCCACAGGUUCCCCCCAGCUUCUGCCCCAGGAAACCACUGAUCUGACUUCUAGCACUAUUGAUUAGUUUUUCCUGUUUAGAACUUCACAUAAAUGGAAUCAUAGAGUGUACUUUUUUCCCCCUGGCUUUUUUUCACUUAGCUCAGUGUUUUUGAUAUGUAUUUAUAUCAUUGCAUGUAUCAGUAGUUUGCACCAUCUUAUUGCUGAGUUGUAUUCUCUUGUGUGGAUAUGCCACAAUUUACUUAUCCAUUAUCAGUUGUUGAAUGCUUAUGUUGUUACCAGCUUUGACUUUUAGGAAUAAAACUGGUACGAACAUUUGUGUUCAAGUUAUUUUUCAGAUACAUAUUUGCAUUAGUAUGAGCAUUCUAUUGCUCCAUAUCCUUGUCAACACUCGAUAUUAUUAGUUUUCAAUUUUAGCCAUUCUUGUGGAUGUGUAAUAGUAUCUUGUACAGUAGUUUGCAUUUAUCUGAUGAGUAAAUACGUUAAGCAUCUUUUCAUAUGCAUAUAGGCUAUUUGUGUAUCUUCUAUUAUGACUUAUCUGUUUAAAUCUUUAGGUUGUAUUUUUAAAUUGGGGUGUUUGUCUUAUUAAGUUAUUUGUCUUACUAAGUUUUAAAUAUGGUCUGGUACAGUGGCUCACACCUGUAAUCCAGCACUUUGGAAGGCCAAGGCGGGUGGGUCACCUGAGAUCUGGGGUUCGAGACCAGCCUGGCCAACAUAGUGAAACCCUAUCUCUACUAAAAAUACAAAAAUUAGCUGGGCAUGGUGGUGCCUGCCUGUAGUCCCAGUUACUUAGGAGGCUGAGGCAGGAGAAUUGCAUGAACCUAUGUAUUUCUGGAUACAAAUUCUUUUCUGCCUUAUUUUGAUAACAAGUUCUUUAUCAGACUUACGUAUUACAGAUAUUUUCUUUGAGUCUGUACCUUUUUAUACCUUAACACUGUGUUUUGAACAACAGAGAUUUUUAGUUUUAGUGAAAUCCAAUUAACACAUUUUUCUCUUUUGUGAUUAGUGUUCUUGUGUCCAGAAAUUUUUACUUAACCCUAGAUUAUGGAUAUAUUCUCAUACAUUUUCUUAGAAAUUUUAUUAUUUUAGUCCUUAUGUUUAAAUAUAAAAUUCAUUUUCAAUUUUUUGUAUGGCAUGAGAUUGAGUGUUGAGAUUCAUUUUAAAAAUAUUUAUAUAGUUUUCCAGUGUCAUUUAUUGAAAACACUACUAUACUUUCCCCUGAAUUACUCUGGUGCUUUUGUUGAGCAUCAAAAAAAAAAAAAAAAA